UUUAAAAAUUCAAGUGGAUGCCUGAAAAAUGUCUUUGGUAACUGUGGAGAUAAUUGUUCAUAACAAAGAACAUGUUGAGUAACUAUAUUGUUAUCAUUAUGACAACAGGCUUUUAGAAUGAAGUCUUAGAAGGAAAUGAUUUCCUGCUUCCAAGUUGGUGACCAAUCUAGAUAUUAAAGCUACAAAUGACUUAUAUUGUAUUUGAGCAGAUUACAUUUAAUUAAUUAGUAAAAGGAAAACACAGAUGAAAGACUUUUUCUGGAGUAUGAUUGACAAGGAAAAAACAAAUGAUACUGAGUGAUGGUAUGAGGGAACUUUCAGCAAAGCAUACAGAGAGAAAGGAGGAAGUAAUCACAGAUAAAGCCAACCAAUAUAAAGGUAGAGUCUUGAAGAAGACAAGAACGUUUUUGUUAAAAGUGAAUACAGGUACAAGGGAAGGAUGUCCACCUUCAUUGCCUUUAUCUAACAUCGUACCAGAGGGCCAACCCAGUGCAAUAAGACAAGAAAAAGAAAUAAUAUAAAUACAUAUUGAAAGGAACUAGUGGCUUCUGGACAGAGAUGGGAGGAAGAAUUACUUUUCAUUAUGUACCAUGUUGUAUCUUUUGGAUUUAUAUGUCAUAUGCAAGUAUUAACUAUCCAAAAAAUAAUUAUGUGAAAUUUACAGAAUAUGGAUUGAAAUAAGAACUCCUUCUUGACCCCUGUGUUUGGUAUGGAAGUCAAAGUUGAGACUGAAGAGGAGUGAUAAAAAUUGUGACAAAUAAAAAAGGGAAGUAAAUAUGGGAUGAUGAGCCUAUUGAUGCCAAAAAAGGCAAUUCUCCAAUUUAAGGGCACCAAAGAGGAAGAUAUAAGAACCUAAAAGGCAGUGGGUCAGAAAGCACACUUAAGUCUAAGGACUCAGUGGAGUGGUGCUGGGUAGGAGGGUGAAAUUUGGAUGGGAGGCUGUUGCAAAAAAUGAGAAAGAGUAUGUGACCAUCUGUAUGUAUCUGUUAUUAUCUCCUUGAUCUAAGCUUCCCUCUCUUACUGUGGUCAUGCACCCACAUCUCAAGGGUUCCACAAAUGUAGCAGUCCCCGUCCUUGGAAAAAAUUGUACUAUCAGUUAUUUGCAUGCUUUAGCUUGUGAGUGUGGUAUCAGUAGGGUCCCCAAGAUGGCAAUGACGCAGAGCAGGAAAGUAAUUGUUUUACAGAAAUCUGUUUCUUUCUAUUUCUGCAUUCUGUUUCUAGGGUCAAUGCAAGUAUAUUUGCAGUUGAAUGGAACAGAGCUUCUAGGAAAUAAAAAACAGAUGUUGGAGGAAGGCAUUCAGGAUGCUGGAAUUCCCAACUCUGCCUAGGCUGCACCAAGGCUGUAGUGGAUUUAAAAAUGUCAAACUACACUGACUCCCAAGCCUGAAUGUCCUGUGGAAAGAAAAGAAUGGUUUGGCUGAUCUCAUAAAGAGUACCCUUAGGCAAAGGAACAUAUUCUUCCUGAUUCACUUCUCAGAUGUAGAGAAAUAUGGACAUAUAAACUACUUUGGGUUAUUUUUGAGAGGCGGGGGAGAGGCAGAGAGAGAGGGAGAGAGUGGAUCCAAAUGGGC